rnacentral:misc_RNA from 1 species
GGAAGUAAAAGUCAUAACAAGGUUUCCGUAGGUGAACCUGCGGAAGGAUCAUUAUUGGAUUUUGAAACUUCAGGCUGCUGCUGGCUCUCCUCGGAGGGCAUGUGCACGCUUGUUGUCCAUUAUUUCUCCCACUGUGCACAAAUUGUAGACCUUUCAGUAGGCCUAUGUUGUUUUUCACAAUCUCUGAAUGUAAUAGAAUGGUUUUGAAUCUUGGGAAAUACAAUACAACUUUCAGCAACGGAUCUCUUGGCUCUC